GGUGAACGCUGGCGGCGUGCUUAACACAUGCAAGUCGAACGAAGCACCUUAUUCUGAUUUCUUCGGAAUGAAAAAUUUGGUGACUGAGUGGCGGACGGGUGAGUAACGCGUGGGUAACCUGCCUCAUACAGGGGGAUAACAGUUAGAAAUGACUGCUAAUACCGCAUAAGACCACAGCACCGCAUGGUGCAGGGGUAAAAACUCCGGUGGUAUGAGAUGGACCCGCGUCUGAUUAGGUAGUUGGUGGGGCAACGGCCUACCAAGCCGACGAUCAGUAGCCGACCUGAGAGGGUGACCGGCCACAUUGGGACUGAGACACGGCCCAAACUCCUACGGGAGGCAGCAGUGGGGAAUAUUGCACAAUGGGGGAAACCCUGAUGCAGCGACGCCGCGUGAGCGAUGAAGUAUUUCGGUAUGUAAAGCUCUAUCAGCAGGGAAGAAAAUGACGGUACCUGACUAAGAAGCACCGGCUAAAUACGUGCCAGCAGCCGCAGUAAUAC
rnacentral:rRNA from 1 species